rnacentral:rRNA from 1 species
GACGAACGCUGGCGGCGUGCUUAACACAUGCAAGUCGAACGGAAAGGCCCUGCUUGCAGGGUACUCGAGUGGCGAACGGGUGAGUAACACGUGGGUGAUCUGCCCUGCACUUCGGGAUAAGCCUGGGAAACUGGGUCUAAUACCGGAUAGGAGCCAUUUUUAGUGUGAUGGUUGGAAAGUUUUUUCGGUGUAGGAUGAGCUCGCGGCCUAUCAGCUUGUUGGUGGGGUAAUGGCCUACCAAGGCGGCGACGGGUAGCCGGCCUGGGAGGGUGGACGGCCACCUUGGGGCUGGGAAACGGCCCAGACUCCCACGGGAGGCAGCAGUGGGGAAUAUUGCACAAUGGGCGCAAGCCUGAUGCAGCGACGCCGCGUGGGGGAUGACGGCCUUCGGGUUGUAAACUCCUUUCGCUAGGGACGAAGCUUUUUGUGACGGUACCUAGAUAAGAAGCACCGGCUAACUACGUG